GUAGUCAUAUGCUUGUCUCAAAGAUUAAGCCAUGCAUGUCUAAGUAUAAGCAACUUGUACUGUGAAACUGCGAAUGGCCCAUUAAAUCAGUUAUCGUUUAUUUGAUAGUACCCUACUACAUGGAUACCUGUGGUAAUUCUAGAGCUAAUACAUGCGCAAAACCCCGACUUCGGAAGGGGUGUAUUUAUUAGAUAAAAAACCAAUGNCCUUCGGGGCUCCUUGGUGAUUCAUAAUAACUUCACGAAUCGCAUGGCCUUGCGCCGGCGAUGGUUCAUUCAAAUUUCUGCCCUAUCAACUUUCGAUGGUAGGAUAGUGGCCUACCAUGGUGGCAACGGGUAACGGGGAAUUAGGGUUCGAUUCCGGAGAGGGAGCCUGAGAAACGGCUACCACAUCCAAGGAAGGCAGCAGGCGCGCAAAUUACCCAAUCCCGAUACGGGGAGGUAGUGACAAUAAAUACUGAUACAGGGCUCUUUUGGGUCUUGUAAUUGGAAUGAGAACAAUCUAAAUCCCUUAACGAGGAACAAUUGGNGGGCAAGUCUGGUGCCAGCAGCC
rnacentral:rRNA from 1 species